rnacentral:rRNA from 1 species
CUGAUGCAGCGAUGCCGCGUGAGUGAAGAAGGCCCUUGGGUUGUAAAGCUCUUUCGUCGGGGAAGAAAAUGACUGUACCCGAAUAAGAAGGUCCGGCUAACUUCGUGCCAGCAGCCGCGGUAAUACGAAGGGACCUAGCGUAGUUCGGAAUUACUGGGCUUAAAGAGUUCGUAGGUGGUUGAAAUAGUUGGUGGUGAAAUCCCAGAGCUUAACUCUGGAACUGCCAUUAAAACUUUUCAGCUAGAGUAUGAUAGAGGAAAGCAGAAUUUCUAGUGUAGAGGUGAAAUUCGUAGAUAUUAGAAAGAAUACCAAUUGCGAAGGCAGCUUUCUGGAUCAUUACUGACGCUGAGGAACGAAAGCAUGGGUAGCGAAGAGGAUUAGAUACCCUCGUAGUCCAUGCCGUAAACGAUGUGUGUUAGACGUUGGAAAUUUAUUUUCAGUGUCGCAGGGAAACCGAUAAACACACCGCCUGGGGAGUACGACCGCAAGGUUAAAACUCAAAUGAAUUGACGGGGACCCGCACAAGUAGUGGAGCAUGUGGUUUAAUUCGAAGAUACGCGCAGAACCUUACCAACACUUGACAUGUUCGUCGCGACUCUGAGAGAUUAGAGUUUUCGGUUCGGCCGGACGAAACACAGGUGCUGCAUGGCUGUCGUCAGCUCGUGUCGUGAGAUGUUGGGUUAAGUCCCGCAACGAGCGCAACCCUCACUUUUAGUUGCCAUCAUUAAGUUGGGCACUCUGAAAGAACUGCCAGUGAUAAGCUGGAGGAAGGUGGGGAUGACGUCAAGUCCUCAUGGCC